rnacentral:rRNA from 1 species
UACGUAGGGGGCAAGCGUUGUCCGGAUUUAUUGGGCGUAAAGAGCGUGUAGGCGGUCUGGUAGGUCCGUUGUGAAAACUCGAGGCUCAACCUCGAGACGCCGAUGGAAACCAUCAGACUAGAGUCCGGAAGAGGAGAGUGGAAUUCCUGGUGUAGGCGGUGAAAUGCGCAGAUAUCAGGAAGAACACCCGUGGCUAAGGCGGCUCUCUAGUACGGUACUGACGCUGAGACGCGAAAGCGUGGGGAGCGAACAGG